rnacentral:rRNA from 1 species
GACGAACGCUGGCGGCGUGCUUAACACAUGCAAGUCGAACGGAAAGGCCCUGCUUUUGUGGGGUGCUCGAGUGGCGAACGGGUGAGUAACACGUGAGUAACCUGCCCUUGACUUUGGGAUAACUUCAGGAAACUGGGGCUAAUACCGGAUAGGAGCUCCUGCUGCAUGGUGGUGGUUGGAAAGUUUCGGCGGUUGGGGAUGGACUCGCGGCUUAUCAGCUUGUUGGUGGGGUAGUGGCUUACCAAGGCUUUGACGGGUAGCCGGCCUGAGAGGGUGACCGGCCACAAUGGGACUGAGAUACGGCCCAGACUCCUACGGGAGGCAGCAGGGGGGAAUAUUGCACAAUGGGCGGAAGCCUGAUGCGGCAACGCCGCGUGCGGGAUGACGGCCUUCGGGUUGUAAACCGCUUUCGCCUGUGACGAAGCGUGAGUGACGGUAAUGGGUAAAGAAGCACCGGCUAACUACGUG